rnacentral:rRNA from 1 species
UACGUAGGGUGCGAGCGUUAAUCGGAAUUACUGGGCGUAAAGCGUGCGUAGGCGGUUCGCUGUGUCCGAUGUGAAAGCCCCGGGCUUAACCUGGGAAUGGCAUUGGAAACUGGCGGGCUUGAGUGCGGCAGAGGGGGGUGGAAUUCCGCGUGUAGCAGUGAAAUGCGUAGAGAUCGGGAAGAACAUCAGUGGCGAAGGCGGCCUGCUGGGCUGUUGCUGACGCUGAGGCGCGACAGCGUGGGGAGCAAACAGG